GCUCUGGUGGCCUAGUUAUUAGAGCGUCCGCCUCGGAUGGGAUGCGGGAGGUCGUGGGUUUGAACCCCGACCAAGUCA